rnacentral:tRNA from 1 species
UUAAUUGAAGCCAAAAAGAGGCGUAUUAUUGUUAAUAAUAUUAUUGAAAUUCUAAUCUUUCCAAUUAAA